rnacentral:rRNA from 1 species
UACGUAGGGUGCAAGCGUUGUCCGGAAUUAUUGGGCGUAAAGAGCUCGUAGGCGGUUUGUCGCGUCGAAUGUGAAAACCCGGGGCUCAACCCCGGGCCUGCAUUCGAUACGGGCAGACUAGAGUUCGGUAGGGGAGUCUGGAAUUCCUGGUGUAGCGGUGAAAUGCGCAGAUAUCAGGAGGAACACCGGUGGCGAAGGCGGGUCUCUGGGCAAUUCCUGACGCUGAGGCGCGAAAGCGUGGGGAGCAAACGGG